GUAGGCAACACUGUUUAUAUAAAUAUAUAUAUAUAUAUAUAUAUAUAUUAAUUGGGGUAGCCCCCAAAAUAUUGGGACAUAUAAAAAAAGACAACUCUGUUCCAUGGAGUAGCUGUUGACAUUAUAGUUGCGCAGGAGCUUUGUUGACUCUAGAGAACCUCGGGCAAAUCGCACAUCCCCACGGCGAUGUCAUCCAUAUCAACAUUCAAUGCCAGAUUCUGCGCCUACCAUGGUGACCACGGGUAACGGGGAAUCAGAGUUCCAUUCCAUACAGGGACCCUGAGAAACAGCUACCACAUGCAAUGAAGGCAGCAGGUGCGCAAAUGACCCAUUCCCGACGUGGGAAGGUAGUGAC